rnacentral:rRNA from 1 species
UACAGAGGGGGCAAGCGUUAUUCGGAAUUAUUGGGCGUAAAGGGCGCGUAGGCGGCUUGGCAAGUGGAUGGUGAAAUCCCUCGGCUUAACCGAGGAACUGCCGUCCAAACUGCUUCGCUUGAGACCGGGAGAGGUGAGUGGAAUUCCCAGUGUAGCGGUGAAAUGCGUAGAUAUUGGGAGGAACACCAGUGGCGAAGGCGGCUCACUGGACCGGUACUGACGCUGAUGCGCGAAAGCGUAGGGAGCAAAACGGGG